rnacentral:rRNA from 1 species
GACGAACGCUGGCGGCGUGCCUAAUACAUGCAAGUAGAACGCUGAAGGAGGAGCUUGCUUCUCUGGAUGAGUUGCGAACGGGUGAGUAACGCGUAGGUAACCUGCCUGGUAGCGGGGGAUAACUAUUGGAAACGAUAGCUAAUACCGCAUAAUAGUAGAUGUUGCAUGACAUUUACUUAAAAGGUGCAAUUGCAUCACUACCAGAUGGACCUGCGUUGUAUUAGCUAGUUGGUGGGGUAACGGCUCACCAAGGCGACGAUACAUAGCCGACCUGAGAGGGUGAUCGGCCACACUGGGACUGAGACGCGGCCCAGACUCCUACGGGAGGCAGCAGUAGGGAAUCUUCGGCAAUGGACGAAAGUCUGACCGAGCAACGCCGCGUGAGUGAAGAAGGGUUUCGGAUCGUAAAGCUCUGUUGUAAGAGAAGAACGAGUGUGAGAGUGGAAAGUUCACACUGUGACGGUAUCUUACCAGAAAGGGACGGCUAACUACGUG